GUUGUAGAGUACCAGGCCUGGGUCACACUAGAGUGUGAUCCAGGACAAUCCCAUGCAAAGUAACUGAGACCUAGCAGAGCAGACCUUUCCCAGAGACCUGAGAACGGACGCUGGACUCAGUCACAUACAAGAAGGCAGGACGCGAAGGAGAGAGACAUGGAUAGCCCAGGAGAAAGAGCAGGGUGGCUGUCACAGGCUCCCUGGCACAAACCCAAGUAGGAGGAGGCCAGGACUCAUUCAUCCAGGGCCAGCCCAAGGAAGACUGCCUAGCAGGCUGGCCCAGCCUAGGCCAGGCCACCAGGGGAGGGGAUUUCCUCUGGUUCCCUCCCGCGUAGGAACCUGUCUGGACAAUUUUAGUUCUGGGAGGGCAGGAGAGGAGCCUGGCAGGCUGCGGCUGGAGCCUCCAGGCAGCUCCGUUGGCCCCUUGACGUGGAAGAUCCGACUGCAGAGUGGGACCGCUGUGACUCGGCCUCCCCGGUUAGGAAACAACAUAAGCGGAUGGCCAAAGUGUCUUCCUUUAACGAAGAGAUGUCCACAGGGUGUUCUCCCAGCAUCCUCCUGAACUAGAACUCACAUGGUGACUCACAACCAUCUGUAACUCCACU